CAGAAGAUGGAUACUCCAUGCGACCACAUCCCCUGUUGAGUUGCGAAGAGGAUAUGUGCCUCGGGGUAUAGAUGAGAGAGAAUUAGUAUCAGCAAUAGAUGAUGUUCAAACCAUUGCAAAUAGUGGCUUGGAAUUGGCUCGAGCAAGUACAUAUCCCGAAGCA